CCUACGGGAGGCAGCAGUGGGGAAUAUUGCACAAUGGGGGAAACCCUGAUGCAGCAACGCCGCGUGAGUGAAGAAGUAUUUCGGUAUGUAAAGCUCUAUCAGCAGGGAAGAAGAAAGACGGUACCUGACUAAGAAGCCCCGGCUAACUACGUGCCAGCAGCCGCGGUAAUAGGUAGGGGGCAAGCGUUAUCCGGAUUUACUGGGUGUAAAGGGAGCGUAGACGGCUGAGCAAGUCUGAAGUGAAAGCCCGUGGCUCAACCGCGGAACUGCUUUGGAAACUGUAUAGCUGGAGUACUGGAGAGGCAGGCGGAAUUCCUAGUGUAGCGGUGAAAUGCGUAGAUAUUAGGAGGAACACCAGUGGCGAAGGCGGCCUGCUGGACAGAAACUGACGUUGAGGCUCGAAAGCGUGGGGAGAAAACAGGAUUAGAUACCCCUGUAGUC
rnacentral:rRNA from 1 species